GUCCAUCAGAGAAAAAAACAACUGUUUUCAUUAAUUUCAUAGAGGAAAAUAAUAGUUAUAGACAGUUACCAUACUGCUGCAUUUUGCAGGAGACGUACAUGCGUUCAUGACUGCGUGUGCAUGGAUGUCUGAAUAUCUGCGUUACUGUUUCAGCUGCUAACACGGGUUAAAGUUACAGAGCCAAGUUUCCUUUUGCUCUGGCUCUGACUCGUGGAUAGCCUACUUUCCACUUACAAACUUACAAGUAGGCUAGAGGUUAAAGGCUAAUUAUGUGCCAAAAACACAUUUAUUUCACAGGCAUGUGUGGCGUUGGCCUGGUCAGAGGUUGCAUAGCUGCUGUCAGACCAUAUUAGGGCACAGCGGCUGUGACCUACGACUACAGACGAGGAUCUUUUCCACCCGGCUUGAAGAAGUCUCCUGCCGUGUGGAUUUUGUGUUGCACAACACACUCACACGCAUGACGGGGCACUACAGAGAGAAGCGCUGGCCUGAUGAGGAGGUUACACACCACAGCGUCUGAACUGGAGGAAUUUCAGCCGGCUCCUUUAUGUGCACACAAUUUAUGUUCUAAGCAGAGCAGAACCAAAAGUGACAGUGAAAAAUCAUAUUUACAAAAUUCUCCCAUAACCCAAAAUGUACACUUAACAAGCUGAGGCACGUUUGAAUGAAAACGUAUGAAGUUUACCUCUUUACUUUUGCACUGCAGCUAUGAGGCUAACGCAGCUAAAAAAUAAUGGAAGCAUAUCAGUGAACUUGUAGACAGGAGAACCACUAUUACUCCAAAGCACGUCCAAAAUGAAUGGGUUAAUAUGAAGUAUAUGAGUAAAAUCAUAGUUAAUAAAUGCAAAAAUAUUUAAACACCAUGGUUAUAUUUUUAAACACUCGCAAACUCCAGUUUUAUUAGUUGAAAAUGGCGCCUCAUGUAUGUCCAUGAUGUCAGUGAGUGCAAACAGUGAGCUGCUCCACUUGUAGCAGUAAUCCUACCCUUGUAUUGCCCAAAACCUGUUUGCUGUAGAAAAAAGGAAACAUACAAGUAGGUUUUCUUUGCUUUAUUAGUCAAAUACAUCCUUUUACUGUCUAAAUUUAAAGGAAAGUUCAGGGCAAGGGAUUAGAAACUAAUUUAGCUUUUCUUGUUUUUAGCCGUUUAGCUCCAUUCACCCCAUUCAGUGAGGACUCAUGGGUGGCCUCUGGUUUUGCAGUCAUGUUUUUGAUAUAAAGGGAAACAGUAAGUGGCCAGGUUCCUCAUAAACCAGCUCUGGAAACUUAUGUAGCAACAUGCUAACAGCAUUCCUAAACCCUGCAUGCCUGAACCAUUACACUUGACUCAGACUGUGGCGAGUUGUUCAGUAACCUGAAACAAGAGAUGUUAACAAGUCACUUCAUGUCAAGUCUCGAGUGUCUCGAGAAGAGACCAUUUUAACAUAAAAGAAUCCCCAAACACUAAAUGUGGUUUUUAAAGAAAACAACUUAAAACAGUUAUUUGAUCUAUAGUGAAUAUAUCAAGCAUGCUAGCUAGCUAGAAUAAUAGCUAAUCCAUCUGAAGCUUUGGUAAGUUUUAAAGGAAUGUGACUUAAAGGAAACAGACUUGACUUACUUGUGUGUUUUCUGACACUAUGAAACUGGGAAAUUGUAUGCUAGAUAGCUAAAAACAGUAGCAGCAUCCAUUCUUUUCUUAUUGUGCCAGAAACCCCAUAGGCAAGUCUACUUGAGAUUCUUUUACAGCUCAAAACAGUGUGAGGAUGUGAGGGAAGUGUGUGAUAGCACAGUUUGCACAGUGCUAACUAGCAGGGUACAGACUUCCAUUAGCUGUUAGCUACAUUUACCUUGUUGCGCCGAAACAAAAAAAAAAAAGCAAUCAGACCAAAAUCAUAUCUUGUCUACAUCUGGGAUAAAGAGAGAACUGACUGAUACAAAUUAGAUUUUGUACUGAACUUUCACAAUAAUGGGCAGAGAAACAUGUCCAGUGUCUGGGCUACAUGCUGCAAUAGAACACCACUUCUAAAAUCUGGCCUCCUCGACCUCUGUUUCCACAUUAUAAAUCCAGAUGUGAGGAUCUGAAACUAACAGACUCCACACAACUCCAAAAACACAACAACUAGACGCCAACAUACAUGUUGCAUACAGUCAAAGAGCGUACGGUUUAUGCUAGGCAUGGGUCCAAGGAAAGUUAAUAUAUCCGCCCUCAUUAUCGUGUCAGACAAACGACAGCAAAAUACACCCGAACACGCGUGCAUACACACAUACAUCUGCUGCACCAGAUGACUGUUAAGAUCCCCACCUUUUUCCAUUUGAUAAAGAUUAAUAUCAUAUAGAAACCUUAACAAAACUCGUCCACUGGACUGUAGCCCUCUGUGAGCUAAUCUCUGCAGUGUAUAGCCCAACAUCAGCUCUUCUGCAUUGCAGACUGAACUCAUUGUGAGUAAGUUUCAGCCAAAACUAUGACCUGAACCAUACGCUCCACAGUAUGCGCUUUUUAUAUUUGGUCAUAAAUCAGACAGUUGAAGAUCAUGUCCUUCCAUUUUAGUGAUAUAUUACACUGUUGAACAUACUAAGCAGGACAAACCACAGGAUACUAUACAAGCACUAAACUCUAGGGAUAACUUCUUAUUAAAAAAUUUUUAAAAAGUAUGGUCCACACUAAUGUAAGAUGCAGGCCUGUAGUUAAAUAACAAAGUGAAAUAAUAUAAAAUAUGAAAAAGGCUUUGAAUUCUUUGAUUCUGUAUCUGAAUAUACAAUACAUAGACUAGCUUAUGGUCAGUAGUCUAAUAUUGCUUUAGCUAGUUAGGACACAAUUUACAGCACCAUUAAAACCUUAACAAUGAACUAUAAACCACUGACUGUCAUGAUUGGCCCCUUCCAGUCCUGUCCAUGUGCUUUGUUUUGGUUUUCAGUCCUGGCGUCUUGUUUCGUGUUUCUGUCUGUCCCUCAUUUAUCCUCAUGUAUUUUAGCCCUGCGUUUUCCUCUGUCCGGUUGCUGGUAUUUGUUUGAUUUGUUGGAUAUGUUUGUUGGAUGUAUGUAUUGUAUUCUCGUGUUUGGUUCUUGUUUGAGGUUCUGUGUUGUUUAUUAUGUCUGCACCUCGAUCCAUUCACAUUGGCUCUAUGACCCUGGACUGUCCUGACCCUGAUUUUGGAUUUGCCCACAAUAAAUCUCACUUGUCUCUG